rnacentral:tRNA from 1 species
GCCGAGGUAGCUCAGCUGGUUAGAGCGCAGGAUUCAUAAUCCUGAGGUCGGCGGUUCAAGCCCGCCUCUCGGUACUA